rnacentral:snoRNA from 1 species
GAAUGAUGAGAACUCAUAGCUGGCACCAGUCAGACGGGGAUGAAAUCAUCCUCCAUGCUGAGUAGCUUGCGGUCUGGGAAACGCUAUCCGGAUCCUGAA